AUUGAACGCUGGCGGCAUGCUUUACACAUGCAAGUCGAACGGUAACAGGCCUUCGUGUGCUGACGAGUGGCGAACGGGUGAGUAAUGCAUCGGAACGUGCCCAGAGGUGGGGGAUAACGCAGCGAAAGCUGUGCUAAUACCGCAUGCGAUCUGAGGAUGAAAGCGGGGGACCAAGCAGCAAUGUUUGGCCUCGCGCCUCUGGAGCGGCCGAUGUCAGAUUAGGUAGUUGGUGGGGUAAAGGCCUACCAAGCCGACGAUCCGUAGCUGGUCUGAGAGGACGACCGGCCACACUGGGACUGAGACACGGCCCAGACUCCUACGGGAGGCAGCAGUGGGGAAUUUUGGGCAAGGGGCGCAAGCCUGAUCCAGCAAUGCCGCGUGAGGGAAGAAGGCCUUCGGGUUGUAAAGCGCUUUUGUACGGAACGAAAAGGCUCUGGCUAAUACCUGGGGCUGAUGACGGUACCGUAAGAAUAAGCACCGGCUAACUACGUG
rnacentral:rRNA from 1 species